rnacentral:lncRNA from 1 species
CUCGUCCGUGCAGUAGAGAGUGGGGACCUGGCCUUCUGCGGGCCCAGGGCUGAGUGUCUGCCCCUGGGGCCGCAUGGUGGGCCUGGGAGGAAAGAUGUCCUGCCUCCUUUCCGAAGGGCCGAGUCGUGGCGGCACCGGCUCCAUUGGCCUCCUAGUCUGUAAACUGCGCCAGCUUCUGACUUGGGGCCUAUGAUUCUGCCAGGCUGCUGCUGAUGCCAGAAACCUGGACUGGUGCUUUGGGCCACAGCUGCGAAACUCCGAGUGUGGUCUGGGGACCCCGGGGUCCCCGAGGUCCUUUCACGGAGUCCACAAGGACACCGCCACAGAGUAGCUUGAUGAGUGGUGUAGGUCCACAGCCAAGAUGCAAAACCGCAAACCCGGGGCCAGCAAGGCAGAGCGUGUGAACCCAACCACUAUGCCUCCAGGCCAGCCCUUUUUAUAGCAAAUCUAACAAAGAGAAAGGAACAGACGCCACUCCUGCCCAGUCAGUUAAUAUAACGUCCAGCCCCAGAUCUCAUCUUUUGUAAACUUGGUUCAGGCAGAAAUUCCCCAUUUUCUGAAGGAGAUCUGGAUAAGAAGCCAGGAGCAGAGCAUGUGGUAAGUUACUCUUCUGUGUUUGAACAACUGGAGGAAUGUGAGGAGCUUGUUGGAAAAAGAAGGACUGCUCUUCAGUGUCUGUUAAGAAUUAGCUGUCUUUGUACUGUAUACAAGUACAAUCUGUAAAAUAUCACGUCCUAGAAGGUGGAUUAAUGAAAUUCUGAACCCAUCUAAACAUGAUACACCUCUUGGGUGAUCUCUCAUAUGUUAAAAUUGUUG